rnacentral:lncRNA from 1 species
AUAUGUGCAUAGUUUAUGUAUUAUAUAUAUAUAAUUAUGUAUAAUCAAUGUAUAGACUUUGUGUAUGACUAAAAAAAUAAAUAAUGAAUAUGAUUGACUAUUUGUAUAAAGAACCGAUAAAAUUACCGUUGAGCUCACACCUUAGGCCCAUUAGCUUUGCAAUUCUGUGAGCGGCCCAAUCCAGCAAAACCUCUCUCCAAAACCUAAGCAUAAAACCCUAGCCCCCUUCACUCUUCUCUAUAUAAAGCAACUUCCUUCCCUGAGAUUCAUCAUUCUCUCUUCUGGUCUCUAGGGUUUUACAAUUUCAGUUCCUCCAUUUGUAAGAUCUUCUCCUUUUCCUUUUAUUUUUCUAGCUGUGAAUUUUUUAAAAUUUAUUUGUGUUAAUCACUUUGGCCAAUGAUUAAAAUUCUUUUAUAGACAAGCAUAUAUCUGAAUUUUUAUCAUGUUGUUAACCUAAUCUUCUCUAUGAGGCCAAUAAAUAAUUUAUUUCUAUUUAUUUUUCGCCUUAAUCCUGUUGUUAUAUUACUGGGUCAUAUGAUGAUUAGAAGCAUAGUUCAAAUGAAAUCUUUUAUGAUUUUAAAACAUCUUUUUAGUCUUUCGCUCCUAUCUGAUGGCUCUUCUUUUAGUUUCACUUAGAUUAAAUCAAAUGUAAAUAUUUAAAAAGCUAAUUUUUUGCUUUUAGGUAAAUUAUUUUUUUAAAAUUUUUUACAUUGAAAUGGUUAAUUGGACAGUGACGACUCGUAUCAAUUGGUCUCGUUCGUCGUAAUGGUAUUUAAAAACUACCUUGACGACCAUUCUGAUAUAUCACCACCCAUAAACUGAGUCCUCCAAUUUAAAUUUCUUUUUAUUUAUUUCACUUAUUUUUAUUAUAUGUUUAAUUAAAUUUGUCAUUUUAUAGUUCAUUUAUUCAAAAAAAAUUAUUUUUUGCCUUUGUGGUGCUGUGAUGAAAAUUUCAUUGUGUCGGAGACUUUUGUUCCGUGAUGGUUUACACUACCCUCUAAGAAGUUCUGAGCACUCAUUUUUUUUUCUAUUUUAAUAUUUAUAACUAUUAAAUUUCAGUACUUUUAAAUUAGUGCUGAAUAUUUAUUAAACACAGUUUUUAAAUACUAUUACGAUUUUAGCGAUACUAAUAUUUGUAAUAUUUAUUAUUUAUCGAGGAGGAAAGAGAUGAUGAUAGAAUUCAUGUCUGUCAAUCCACUGAAUACAUUAUUAUGAUGUAAAGAGUGAAUCCCGACAGGUUCUGAUCUUUAAUUAAACUCUUUUUAAAUGUCAUUUUUAUUUAUUUUAUUUUUAUUUUUGUUAUAAAUUAAAAAAAUUUAAGGGGCAAAUGAUGAAUCUUAUUAUAUCGUAAAUGGGUAAUUUGCGUCUGAAUUUUUAUUGAUGCUAUAACCUUGGAGAACUGAUGCCCUUAAAAAAUUGGCUCUUUUUUCUCAGUUAAUUGUUAGUAAUACUUAUUAAAAUUAAAAUUUGACUUUAGAAUAUUUUUUAAGCGGAGUAUCCUAGAAUGUUAAUCUUUUUAAAUAUUUUGGUUCAAUUCUAAUUUUGUUUCUUAUUAUUUUAUUCAAUUUUUUUAUUUUUAAUACUUUUAAUUUAUCAUAUAUUGAGUAUAUAAAUAAUUUUUAUAAUACGAUCUUCAUAAUUUUAAUUUUAUAUCUUAUUUUUUGAUAUAUUAAUUUUUGUAUAUAUUAUAUUUAUAUAAAAUUAUAAGUUAAUUUAAUUAUUAUUAUAAUUGUAUAAAAAGAAAUAUAACCAUUAUUUAAAAAUAAAAAAUGCAAAUUUAAGAUAUCUAAAUUAUUUUUAUUAUUAUUAUUGUAUAAAAAAUGAAAUCUAACUAUUAUUUAAAAAUAAAAAAUACAAAUGUAAGAUAUGUAGCUAAAAUUGAAAAGUGAACUUAAAAAUAAAAGGACGAUAACAAUACAUAAAAUAAAAAUACAUUAUGAUUAAAGUACAUAAAAGGAGGAUACAUUAAAAUAUAAAAUAUAAGUUUCGUAAUCCCCUUGUCGUGAGUGUCCAACUCCUACAGUAGAAAUGGUAGUAGAUGAAGAUCACCGAUUUGUAUAAUUUUUAGCUUGUUAGAAAAAAAUUAAGGGUUAAGAUUGUAUUUUGUGCUUUUUUUGGAUAAAUAGUUUCUUUUCAUUUUUUCAAUUACAAACCAGUAGCUGCUGACCAACUACUCAACCUCUAAUUGUAUUCUAAAAGAGUCAUUACUAAGUCUAUAUAUAUACAUCAAGACAUUAAAAUCGACUUAAUAUCCUAAAGGUAGCUAUUUAUCCUUCGCAAAGCAUUCUUCCAGUUAUGAGAUAAGGAUCCCUUAAUGUGUAUGUCGACUGCUAUUUCCUUGUAGAUGUUACUGAUAAUCAUUUUCCCUCCUUAAAAUCUAAGUUUUGUUUGUUUCUCUCCAUAUAAUAUAUACUGGCAUCUCAAAAACACAAGUGGCAAUUGAAGCUUGCUUAUUUCUCCUCUUGGCAUUCUUGCUAACCCAUUCAACCUCCCUAUUCCAAUCGCCAAUGCUUCUCUGGUAUCCUAUACAGCUUAACACUAUGUUCCAUAGUUUCAAAAAUGUCAGACAAGCAAAAAAUAGGUGAUUAAAAGACUCAUCUGUUCCUUGCAAAAAAUACACUGUUGUGGAAUCUGUAUACCAAACUUCAAUAAUCUCUCCAUUGUUGCCAGUCUUCUAUGCUAUGCAAGCUAUAGAAUGAAUUUGAAUCUUUGGUGUAGUUGUGCGUGCAAUUAUGCUUUUCCAGUAAACUUUUUGGAGUUGGGAAAAUUGCAAUCUAUAUAGUUUUUUGAUACUGAAUAGAACCCCCCUCUGUAGUUGUUUUAAUCUGCAUUCUAGAUUACCAUGGUUACUUUGCAACUUAGUUAUCAGUGUACUUGUCUCAAAAAUUUUCCUCACAGUCCAUGCAGCAUUCCUAGGAGUUGGCAUAUCUUCAAUAGCUUUGUUCUUUAUGUAGUAAGUGUGUACUAUUUAAUUAAUAAGUGCUUUGCAACAGCAGCUUUGUUCCUCAAUAACAGAUUCAUUACAUUAAGUCCCCCAGCACUAUAUGUAAACAUAUAGUUUCUAAGGCCACUAAUGCUUUCUUUGACAUUGUAGAUGUACCAGUCCACAAAAAUGAUUUGCACAUUUCUUCGAUCAUUUUCAUUAAUUUUAUAGGUAAUAAGAAAAUCUGAGACCAGUAAGAUUGCAUUCCAAACAAAAUAGAUUUUAUCAACUAAAGUCUGCCUUCAUACGACAGUAGUCUGGAUGUCCAGCAGUUCAUUUUCUGAGUUACCUUCUCCACUAGUGGGCAGCAUUGUGUGAUAGACAGCUUUUUGGAAUCCAAAGGUACACCAAGAUAUUUGAAUGGAAGCGUACCCUCAGGGAAUCCCAAUUCUUGUAGGAUUUUUUCCUUGAGCCAAUUAGGAACCCCUGCUAUGUAGACUGUACUCUUGUCUUCAUUUUCCUGAAGGCCAGAUGUGGUAGCAAACAAAUAUGAACAACUCCCAACUUCUUGCAUCUAGGAUGAAGCUUGAAGUCUUUCCUUUUCAUCAUAUGCACAAAUUCCCUGUGCAAAUAUUCCAUAGCUAUGACAAAGAGGCAUGGAGACAUUGGGUCCCCUUUCCUUAUGCCUCUUUUGCCUUUAAAUGGUGUUGUGAGACCACCAUUUAAGCUUUUAGAGAAUAUGUAACGGAUGAGAUGCACUCCAUUAUCCAUCUUGUGAAUUUGUAAGGAAAUUCCAUGUCCAGCAGUAGUCUUUCUAUAAAACAUCAUUUUACUGUAUCAUAGUCCUUCGUCAUGUCAACUUUUAGCACACAUCUUGGGAAAAUUCAUUUCCUAUUAUACCCUUUGAAUAGUUCAUGGAUAAAUAAGAUGUUAUCUGUUAUGCUCCUGCAUUCAAUGAAAGCUGACUGUGAACCUCCUAUCAAAUCACCAAUAACUGUUUUGAGCCUUGCUGUGAGGACUUUUGUGAUUAUUUUAUAUAGAGUUGUGCAGCAAGCUAUGGGCCUAUAUGAACCUCCUAUCAAAUCACCAAUAACUGUUUUGAGCCUUGCUGUGAGGACUUUUGUGAUUAUUUUAUUUAUUAUUGUGCAGCAAGCUAUGGGCCUGUAAUUCUUUACUUGACUUGGAUUUUGCACUUUUGGUAUCAAAGUUACUGCUGUACUCCUCACUCCUCUGUGCAGUUUGCCAGUCUCAAAAAAUUCCUUCACAACCUCAAAUAUAUCAUCACCAACAGCUUUCCAAUGCCUUGUGAAAAUUCAAUGGGGAAACCAUCUACUCCUGGUGCUUUAUCAUGGGGCAUAUUUUUGUUUGCCUGAUGAACUUCCUACCUUGUGACUGGCCUGAUUAGUGAUAGUUUCUGCUGCAUGCUAAGACAAGGGCACUUUUGAGUAAUUUCAAUAUUCGUACUUUGUAAUGCAUUAGUCGAGCAUUUGUGUGAUAAUUUUAUUAAAUUAAUUAAAUAUUUGUGUGGUAAUUAUAUUAAAUUUGACUGUGAUCUAAUAUUUAUUUAAUUAUUUUUAUCAAUGAUUUUACUUUUAAUUGAUUUAUCCUUUAAAAUAAUUUUGUAAUAAAUGAUUAUAUUAAUGGUGUAUGUGAAUUGUGUAUAAUGAAUAUGAAAAAAUAGUAUUAGUUUGAAGGAAAUAAAAAGUGAAAAGUAAAUAGAAAAUAAUAUAAUACAGAAGAGAGACAAAAUUUGGUGUAAAAAUAUGUAAUGGGUUGGAGUAAAUUUGAUAUUACACCAUUUUGGUAUGAAAAUUUAGUGUUAGAGUUCGAGCGUGAAAUAGAGUGUUAGGGUUAGAGAUGGCGUAAUACUCUCUUUUUUAUCUCCAAAAUAGGGAUAAAUAGUGUUCCUCCAAGUAUAGGGGAUACCAUUCAUUUCUAUUAUUAUUA